rnacentral:tRNA from 1 species
GUGGCUAUAGCUCAGUUGGUAGAGUGCCUGCCUCACAUGCACAAGGCCCUGGGUUCAAUUCCCCGCAACACACA